UUUUAUCACAUUUGCAAAACACAAAACUUCUCUCAAUACCCCUAGAUCUCGACAGCUAUAUUCCCCCAUAAACCCACCUUCAAGUUCCAUUAAACACCUUAUUUUCACCAAAUCUAGCCAUUACAAGUUCAUGUAUACAUGGGUUAAACAUAAGGAGCAAUUAAGGGAGUUCUUGGAGGCUUAAUCUUCUCUUAAUCUUCUUAAUCACCUUGUGCAAAGUUCCUUCAUGUAAUGGACGUUAGGUAUAUGGAGCUUGCACACGGAGGAGCUGGUCGUUGUGGGGCUUGGAUCGUGAUCAUCUUGUUAAACACUUUUGAUAUUUGA
rnacentral:lncRNA from 1 species